ACGGAAGGCAGCAGUGGGGAAUAUUGCACAAUGGGGGAAACCCUGAUGCAGCGACGCCGCGUGAGUGAAGAAGUAUCUCGGUAUGUAAAGCUCUAUCAGCAGGGAAGAAAAUGACGGUACCUGACUAAGAAGCCCCGGCUAACUACGUGCCAGCAGCCGCGGUAAUACGUAGGGGGCAAGCGUUAUCCGGAUUUACUGGGCGUAAAGGGAGCGUAGACGGCGAUGCAAGUCUGAAGUGAAAGGCGGGGGCUCAACCCUUGGACUGCUUUGGAAACUGUAUUGCUAGAGUGCAGGAGAGGUAAGUGGAAUUCCUAGUGUAGCGGUGAAAUGCUUAGAUAUUAGGAGGAACACCAGUGGCGAAGGCGGCUUACUGGACUGUAACUGACGUUGAGGCUCGAAAGCGUGGGGAGCAAACAGGAUUAGAUACCCUGGUA
rnacentral:rRNA from 1 species